rnacentral:rRNA from 1 species
UACGUAGGUGGCAAGCGUUGUCCGGAAUUAUUGGGCUUAAAGCGCGCGCAGGCGGCCUCUUAAGUCUGAUGUGAAAGCCCCCGGCUCAACCGGGGAGGGCCAUUGGAAACUGGGGAGGCUUGAGUAUAGGAGAGAAGAGUGGAAUUCCACGUGUAGCGGUGAAAUGCGUAGAGAUGUGGAGGAACACCAGUGGCGAAGGCGACUCUUUGGCCUAUAACUGACGCUGAGGCGCGAAAGCGUGGGGAGCAAACAGG